GAAAAAACAAAGCAGGAUGGCUGGGCUGUAGGGAUCUGCAGAUGCUGUUUUGUGAUCGUGGAAGACGUUUGGAAGGGUGAGGAGUGGGGCAGUCACCCGGGCAGGAGCACUGAGGGCGAGAUCUCAUUGGCGCUUCUCUCCAUUUUGGAAGGCCACCUUGUGCUGUAGAGCAAGGCUCAGCCCUCCACUUCAAGGAAUCAACUCUUCUGCUUCAAUUGACAUUUAGUGGGUGUUGCAAAUGCAACUUAACUUUGACUCUGACUUUUCCUCUGAAAAAUGGCUGUGGCUUUCAAUCUGUGGGAAGUCCGUCUUAGUCAGAAUCGAAGCUAUUUUCAGCAUAGAGUGUACCUAGGUCUGGGCUUAUACAAAGGUGCCUUUGUAGUGCAUUCUCCUGGAAACUCCUGGGACAGAAUUCAUCCAGGAAAAGAGAACCCAGGCCCCAUGAGUGGCCCACAGCAGGUGUCUUGGAGUCAUAAUCUAGCAACCUGCCUCUCAGGGCCCAUCUCUCAGAUUUCCUUCUGGUUCAGCCACGGGGACGCCUGAAAGUCUGUUCAAGAGCAGCUUAUCCAGAAUCUAGGUGAGACCUAGAAGCCCACGUCACAGCAGCAUUGGAACCCACAUUGUAGAAUGUCACCCCAGGAGAAACAGAGGGUUCUCCCCAGUGACAGAGAAGGUGGAGUGCUUUGGUGCCACUUUGGGCAGUUUGGGGCAGCUUUGGCAGCCUGUGGCUUCAGUGGCAGCAGCCACCGGGGAGGGUGGCAUUGGCAAUAGCAGGAGGUCAGACACACAGUGGCUUUAUGGAACCCUGUGUGGCUUGAUCAUACCUUUUCAAUCUGUUGAUGCACUUUCAUGGGCAUGAGCAACUUCUGCUGUAGUUCUUUCUAGAAAUCCAGGGCUAUAGAGGAAAAAAUGGUGUACCCCCAGGCUAGCUGAGAGGACAGUCUCCCGAGUACAUACCAGAUACCUCCAAAGGACUCCCAGAAACUGUUGGGGGGACUUUGAAGAUGGAGAGGGCUAAGGGGCCUGCAAUAGCAGGCUGGAAAAAAUUACGGAUAUUGUGUGUGAACCUCUUUCCCUCAGGCCAGUGCUUCCUGAGAGACUAGGCUUACACACAGAUUAAGAACAGGUGAGGUUUUCUUUUUCCACUUUUUCACAGCAUCCCUGGCAUUCCAUUUGGUAAUGAGCACAAGCUGCAGCAGCAAUGACGGAAUGGUCUUCUGACAUCAUCCCUGCCCAUUUAUUGGUUUGACACUUGUUCGGCUCAAUGCAGCCUGUUGAGGCCUCUGCAGAGUCAGUCUGUUAGAGCCUGUCAGCAUGAGGGGAUGUGUGCUUCCAGAGCUGAUAGUACAAACAGGAAAUGUUGGAUUGAGUUUUGUUAGAAGCCUCAAAGCUGAGAACAGUACAACGGUUGCCCAGGACAGCCUCAUCUGGAGCAAGGGGCUAGACUCCCCACUUACAGAACAUGCUCAUGAAUUGUGAAGCUUGUCCUGCCAGCUUCAGCCCAAGAGCCGUGCCUAGGCUAUAGAAGAAGAGAUGAAAGAGGUUAAUAGAAAACUUAACUCAAUCUGGAUGAAACAAGUGGAAUUUGUUGCCUCUUAGCCAAUAAAAUGGAAGUCCAAAGGUAUUUAUGGAGCAUUGUUUUAUGGUGAUGAAUAGGACAGGGAAAGCCUCUGUUUUCAUGGUGCUCAUACGUUCAAGGAAGAGAGUCACCAAAUUCUGGAGGUGUUCAAUCAACAGUUGUUAAACGAGGGAUGAUGAUCUCAUAUAGACCUACAGAAUCUCAGAGCUGAGGAUUAUCAACCACAUUAUACAGAAAGGUCGAGUCACUUGACUAAGGAGGACGAUGAGCCAAGAGCGCAGUUGGAGUUCAGUCAGAUGGAGCAUUCCUGGUGCUGCCUCCUUGCGUGAAAGAUAUUGUCAUGAGAAAGUCACAUGCAAAUGAAGGAGGCUGUAAUUAGGAGAGGAAAAAUAACAUCACCAUGGGAGACGUUGGCUGAGAGGUUCAGGAAGAUUUGUGCACUGAACAAAGGUUGCAGUCUCUCUGUAUGGAAGACAUCAGGAACUAUUCCUCUCAUGACUUUAUUAAAUUGGCCUGAAUUAUCAGCAACUGUGAUCCCUCAGUCCAGGAGAAGAAAGCUUCUUAAAGAGCAGCCCUAUAGAGAGGCCCAAGCAGCAAGGAGCUGAUAUCUCCAGCCAACAGCCAACAAGGACCUGUGGCCUGUCUGCAGUCAUCUCAGGUUUUUCUUUGACCAGUGACAUGUGCAUCCAUGGAAGGAAGGAACUGAUGGUGAACGUAUUUGGAGAUUAUCUACCAUGGCUAACCUGUCGGCCAGGAUUGAC
rnacentral:lncRNA from 1 species